rnacentral:lncRNA from 1 species
AUGCAGUACAAUCCAACUUUAUUUUGUCAGUACCUUUCAUGCCGCCUGCUCCCGAGCUGCUCAGCGGAUCCGGUGCAAAGGGAGUGGGAAGAAACAUAUUUUUUAUUUAUUUUUUUUUUUAGAGCUGGGGAGCUGGAGGCUGCUCGGCAGCAUGGAGCGAGGAGGGGGAAGGCUCCUGUGCCCCAGCCAAGGGGCAGGGGAGGAGAAGAGCAGGAAAAUGAAGCAGCCUGGAUGCUGCUCCCCUGUGCCACAGAGGCACCUUCAGGCUCCUUGGAGGCAAAUGAGCGUGUUUGGCCCUGGGGUGGCUGGAGUCCUCCCGGCUCUUCCAGGCAUCGAGGCGAGCUUUCUGCCCAUGCUGAUGCCCCACAAGGGCUCGGUCAGGCGCCUCCUCCCAGCCCAGCACCAGCAAAAUCCCAAACCCUGUCCCUGUAUGGUGCAGCCAGGCAGCAGGAGCUGAGGGGGGGCUGUGGACAGUCUCUGGUCACCCCAAAAUCCCAUGCCAGGAGCAGGGAGGGACAUCCUGGAGCUGUGUGGAGCUGGAGGCUGCUGCUUCUGCGAAAGGACUGGGGGAGUUUCCGUGCAGAGCCCCCAAGUGUGGGAAGGGAAGGAGGUGAGAGGGUGGAAAACCCAGCAAAAAGCCUUGGUAAGGAGUGGGCAGCAAUGGCUGGGGCAGGGAUCAGCCUGCUGGACUCAGGGAUGCCCCCUGUUCCCCCACCUCUCACGCAGACCCCUCGAGCCCCUCUUCCCAUUGCCUCCUGUUUCUACGUGGCUGCCUGUCCCCUCCUGCACGCAUCCCUGCUCUUGGCCCUUUCUCUGGCAGGAAAGCAGGCGCUACCAUGCAUCCACAGCAUUUUGGGGUCUCCUUGCUCCGCACCUCCAGCACCUUCUGGGUGCCCAGGCUUUAAUUCCCCCAUCCUGCCCGGCUCAGCUGAGGUCUUCUCCUGCCUCCUCUGCGCUGCCGGAGCUGCUCGGAAAGCCCAUGGGAUUUCAGCGGGGCUCUGUGAAGCCCAGAGGCAUCCAGGCUGGGCUCUGUGUGGCACUGGGAGGAAUUCGGCCUCCUCGUGUUUCUUUUUGCCGUGCUGGAAGUCGGCGGGGAAGCUGCUUGUGCUGCGUUUGUUUCUUACACGGCCUGGGGAGGACGGGGCUGGGUUUGAAUGGAAACGCCGGUGUUUGGGCACGCUGGGUCCAGGCUCUGCACCGCUGCGCCUGGCCUCAGCCCCUUCUCUCCCCCACGGGGACGUUACCUCCUGGAGCCUCUAA